rnacentral:lncRNA from 1 species
AGUUUUGAAGUCUUGGAGCCACAGAAAGCACUGGCCAGAGGAAUGAGGUAAUCACUUCUAAUGCCAGGCCCUGCUGUGCAGUGCGCAUGUGUGAUCUCAGUCUGCUUCUGCCCUAGCUAAUGAAGGCAUGGACAAUGGAAUAGCCACAUGGCAGCACCGGAAAACAAGCUUACUUCUGCAGUACACAGCCUGCUUUGCCUGAUUUCUGUCCACUGGACACAGCAAAUGAAGCAGCUUCCCUGUUCUCUACACUGGGCUGUCAUUCGCUCCUAAUGCAUCUUUUCCAUGAGCCAACUUUGAAGGUCGUAUGUCUUUAAUUUUUACAACUUGUAUAUUUCAUAGCCGUCCAGAUGUAUAGGAAGGGAGUAGAUCAUUUUCCCACCUAGGGACUCCCUUCCUGUCAUCACGAUGGAAGCAAAGCUGUCCUACUAAUACGGCCAUCCCUUAGUAUUCACACGGAUACUACAGCACACAGAUAGAUGCUCGAGUACUCUAUAUGUAAGGGGAUCACAUUUGCAUAGAACCCACAUAUAUCCCCUUGUGUGUGUUAAAUCACCUAGGGACUGCUUAUAAUAUCCAUAAUGUAAUAGGUAUUUUUUUGUUUGACUAUAUCUGAUGCUGAAACUUGUCCUCUAACCUUUAUACAUGCACGCACACACACACACACACACACACACACACACACACACACACACACACACACGGGGUGGGGGGAGCAAAACAACAAUAGCUGAAAUGACAAAGAGAAGCACUACAAAGAAUGGAGGGAGGGAAAAGACACCAUUCCUACCCAGCACUCGAAGCUGGCCAUAGCCACAGCUCUCAACACUGGAUCCAACUCCUUCUGACCAGAUGGAAUCCAUCAUUUUCUUUUUUUAUUUUGUUAUUGCACCUCAAUUCUGCAAUAUUUUCUCCCCCAGGGAAUUAAUUACCUAUGCUUAAAGCUAGGCAAGACCCAAGUCAUGGGCUCCAUUUGGACCAUUUUUGCUCUCUGCUUCUUAAAACAUGUUGAGAGCAACAGUUCAUCUCCGUAUGACCAGUGUAACCAGCUCCCCUUUCCUUCUCAACUCCCUUUUCUGUUUAUGUGAGAGAAGAAUCAGAAGUUAACCAUAUUAUUUCCUUGAUCACCGUUCCAUGAAGUAACCAAGAAGGUUUGAAGUCUCUGCUACCCCCGGCUCCUUCCUCUGUGCACUCAGCAAGAAGCAAAUGCACCAAGUGGGGCAGAAAGAGGGAGGCAGCAAAGCAGGAGAUGGAGCCCACUCAUCACAUAACAAAUUAAUCUCCCUAUAAAAGCGAUGCCCGGGAAGAAGGGAUUCUAGUUCUUCCCUCUCCCCUGGAAUAUUGAGAAGAUGCAUUAAACAGAAGAAAGGAGAUGUUUUGAUACUUUCAUGUCUACGUCUGUCCCCACUCCCCCUUCUCUGUACCAAGUCCUCCAAUAAUAAAUAUGGGCAGUAGUAAAUAUAAAAUUGCCUAGGACCCUGGCUGGCUUCAGAGAAAUUUGCUUCUGGCAUGGUGGGAAAACUCAACUUCUCUUUAAAUGAGCUCUCUCUUCCAUCUAGAGAAUCCCAGGCAGCAAUGUCACGAGCCUGGAAGGUACAUCCUGACAUAUGUUAAGUAAGUGAGGUUCAUGGUAUAAAUGACUGUCCCCCCAGGGAGGGGGAGCUUUAAAAUGAAACCAAUAAUGUAUCCUUCACUAGAGAAGACUACAUGCUCUUGCCCCUAUCCAUAAUGAGAGACCUGACUCUGAUCAUAGCUUAGGAACUCACUAAGUGAGGAUGUGGCAAAGACAAGAUCCUCGUGUGCUUUGUAAGAGGGGCUGAAGUUAAGCUGUGCCCUUAUGCUUCUAAAUUGCCUUUGUGAGUAGGGAUGGGAUGGCAGUGGAAUGGUGGGGGAGUGGCAGAGGGAGGGGUUGGGGAAGGGACGGGGAAGAGGCUGACAGUGCAAACCCCUUCAAGGCUCAGCCAGCUCCUUCAAGCCUGCCCUUGCCAAUAGGCAACGAUGAGGAUGAUGGGAGAGGGGCUCUAAGGAGAGAACUCUGCCUUGUCCUUGCUUGUCAAUGCUGUCUGUGAUGCGUGGUGCACUCUCCACUUUGGCAGGGACAGUGAGUAAAGUAACAGAAGUGACUCCAGUUUGUAAUUUGACACUAAUACUCCUCAGAGCUACCAGCUAGUUGAUGUUUCUCUCUUGGGCUGGGCAUGCAGGACCCAGAUCUGUGGGACUCUCUGGGUAAGUUCAAAGGUAACAGUGUUAAAUAAAGAAAGCUCCUUUUAUGAGGUUUGCAUAUUAGCUAGCCAGGGAAUUUUCCCCAAUCUUAAAAACUUUAAAAAUUCCAACCUUAUCCCUUGUUCCCAAAUGUUAUGAGACAUAGCUGCUUCCUGCAGGUGCCACUUCUGAAACUUCAUAUUUUUAAUUUAAUAAUUACUUAUCCUGAUGGCAUGUAUUAAAAUAAUCUUACCUCUC